CCUACGGGUGGCAGCAGUGGGGAAUAUUGCACAAUGGGGGAAACCCUGAUGCAGCGACGCCGCGUGAGUGAAGAAGUAAUUCGGUAUGUAAAGCUCUAUCAGCAGGGAAGAAAAUGACGGUACCUGAGUAAGAAGCCCCGGCUAACUACGUGCCAGCAGCCGCGGUAAUACGUAGGGGGCAAGCGUUAUCCGGAUUUACUGGGUGUAAAGGGAGCGUAGACGGCAGUGCAAGUCUGGAGUGAAAGGCGGGGGCUUAACCCCCGGACUGCUCUGGAAACUGUACGGCUGGAGUGCAGGAGAGGUAAGUGGAAUUCCUAGUGUAGCGGUGAAAUGCGCAGAUAUUAGGAGGAACACCAGUGGCGAAGGCGGCUUACUGGACUGUAACUGACGUUGAGGCUCGAAAGCGUGGGGAGCAAACAGGAUUAGAUAGCCUUGUAGUC
rnacentral:rRNA from 1 species